UAGGGAAUCUUCGGCAAUGGACGAAAGUCUGACCGAGCAACGCCGCGUGUGUGAAGAAGGUUUUCGGAUCGUAAAACUCUGUUGUUAGAGAAGAACAAGGACGUUAGUAACUGAACGUCCCCUGACGGUAUCUAACCAGAAAGCCACGGCUAACUACGUGCCAGCAGCCGCGGUAAUACGUAGGUUGCAAGCGUUGUCCGGAUUUAUUGGGCGUAAAGCGAGCGCAGGCGGUUUCUUAAGUCUGAUGUGAAAGCCCCCGGCUCAACCGGGGAGGGUCAUUGGAAACUGGGAGACUUGAGUGCAGAAGAGGAGAGUGGAAUUCCAUGUGUAGCGGUGAAAUGCGUAGAUAUAUGGAGGAACACCAGUGGCGAAGGCGGCUCUAUGGUCUGUAACUGACGCUGAGGCUCGAAAGCGUGGGGAGCAAACAGG
rnacentral:rRNA from 1 species